GUCCAGACUCCUACGGGAGGCAGCAGUGGGGAAUAUUGGGCAAUGGGCGCAAGCCUGACCCAGCAACGCCGCGUGAAGGAAGAAGGCUUUCGGGUUGUAAACUUCUUUUGACAGGGAAGAGCAGAAGACGGUACCUGUCGAAUAAGCCACGGCUAACUACGUGCCGGCAGCCGCGGUAAUACGUAGGUGGCAAGCGUUGUCCGGAUUUACUGGGUGUAAAGGGCGUGUAGCCGGGCUGAUAAGUCAGAUGUGAAAUCCGGGGGCUCAACCCCCGAACUGCAUUUGAAACUGUUGGCCUUGAGUAUCGGAGAGGCAGGCGGAAUUCCUAGUGUAGCGGUGAAAUGCGUAGAUAUUAGGAGGAACAUCAGUGGCGAAGGCGACUAUCUGGCACAUAACUGACGCUGAGGAGCGAAAGCGUGGGUAGCAAACAGGAUUAGAUACCCCAGUACG
rnacentral:rRNA from 1 species